UUUCCGUAGGUGAACCUGCGGAAGGAUCAUUGAAGGUUUGUUUUUGGUGGGGUGUUUGUGAUUUGUGGGGACUGUGUGUGGUUGGUUGGAUUGCCUUGAUUGCCUGGGUGUCUGCAACUCGACUCUUUUCAUCUUAACCACUUUUCUCACAUUGACAAUGAAUAGUCGUGUCUGAUUAUUAAUGUAAACAACCACUGUUGUCUGACGUUUGCCCUUGCUCGUUUCACAGAAACAGUACCAUAUCAUUGCAGAACUUUUAACAACGGAUCUCUUGGCUCU
rnacentral:misc_RNA from 1 species